UACGGUGGAUGCGAGCGUUAUCCGGAUUUAUUGGAUUUAAAGGGUGCGUAGGCGGGCUUUUAAGUCAGCGGUAAAAAUUCGGGGCUCAACCCCGUCCGGCCGUUGAAACUGGGGGUCUUGAGUGGGCGAGAAGAAGGCGGAAUGCGUGGUGUAGCGGUGAAAUGCAUAGAUAUCACGCAGAACCCCGAUUGCGAAGGCAGCCUUCCGGCGCCCUACUGACGCUGAGGCACGAAAGUGCGGGGAUCGAACAGG
rnacentral:rRNA from 1 species